GGGUGUGUAGCUCAACCGGUAGAGCGUUUCACUUAUUAUGAAACGGUUGCCAGUUCAAAUCUGGUCAUACCCA